rnacentral:rRNA from 1 species
GACGAACGCUGGCGGCGUGCUUAACACAUGCCAGUCGAACGGUGAAGCGCCUUCCUUUUUGGUGGGUGUGGAUGAGUGGCGAACGGGUGAGUAACACGUGAGUAACCCGCCCCCUUCUUCUGGAUAACCGCAUGAAAGUGUGGCUAAUACGGGAUAUUCUGGGUCUGUCGCAUGAUGGGUCUGGGAAAGAUAUUGUUUCGGUGGGGGAUGGGCUCGCGGCCUAUCAGCUUGUUGGUGGGGUGAUGGCCUACCAAGGCGGUGACGGGUAGCCGGCCUGAGAGGGUGGACGGUCACACUGGGACUGAGACACGGCCCAGACUCCUACGGGAGGCAGCAGUGGGGAAUAUUGCACAAUGGGCGCAAGCCUGAUGCAGCGACGCCGCGUGAGGGAUGGAGGCCUUCGGGUUGUGAACCUCUUUCGCCAGUGAAGCAGGCCUGCCUCGUUUGUGGGUGGGUUGACGGUAGCUGGAUAAGAAGCGCCGGCUAACUACGUG